rnacentral:lncRNA from 1 species
CAAAUCCUUUUGAAUUAGUUGUUGCUUCGGUCUUCUGGUCUUCUGCAAUGCUAGGCGUGAUUAAAUCCUUUGAACAGUCUUUGAAGCUUUAAAUCUCUCAUCUUCUGAUGAACUUCAACUUCUAGUGAUAUUGCUUCUGAUGAACUUGCUUCUGAUGACGUCAUCACUUCAGGAACACUUGACUUCAGGAGCACUUUUCUUCAGAUGCUUCAAGCUUCCUUCUUGUUGAUUCCAUUGCUCUCAUUUGUUCUUCUAGAACCUAUACUUUAAAUAGACACUAAAUUUUUGUCUAUGGUCCUGCACACUUUAACAAAUAUUUGCAUAAACAUCAGAGCAUUUCAACCUAAACGGAAUGGCACACUACUUUUCAUAAAAUCAUAAAUAAAAUAAAAUUACUAUUUAUUAUUCAACUUCAACAACAUAUAAUUUAUUACAUCGCAGCGGAAAUUAUUCAACAUUUAAACAACUUUGGCACCAAGGCCUCAACAUAAAUCUCAUAAAAUGGUUCCAACAACAUGUCCUUAAAAUUUCAUAAAACAAUACGUAAGGAACAUAGAGCAAUAACAAAUUCCCAUCCCGUUACGUAUCAGAGCACCUAAGACACACGUGAGAGAAGGUCCCCUCACGACAGCAACUAACAGCAACUAUUCUCGAUCACCUGCUAGUUACCCAUACGAAGAGCAACAUUUCCAAGCAGAAGGGGUGAGAUUCACAAACAAUAAUAAUAGGUAUAUAAAACAUCAACUGUAUUUAACAACCUAAUUAACAACGGAUAAUUCAACAGUCUUGUUUCAUACUUCAUCAACAUUAACAACACCUACAAACUCAACCAACAACGACGACAACAACUCAACCAACAACAACGACUAUGCAACGACACAACGACAAAUGUGAUAAUGCACAUGCAUGUGGUACCAUUUUAACGCGUUUGAAUGAACGAGCAUUCACAGGGCAUAAGCCCUCAACAAUUUAAAUAAAAUAGCAUUCACAGGGCAUGAGCCCUCAACAAUUUGAAUGAUUAAGCAUUCACAGGGCAUGAGCCCUCAACAGUUGAACGACAAGGCAUUCACAGGGCAUAAGCCCUCAACAAUUUAUGAGUACGCAAUGGACUCAACUUUGUGUAUAUCAACAUACAACUCAUCUACAACAACGACAGCAUGGACAAUGACAUCUACUACACUACAAUGCAUAUUGAAAUAUGACUUACACCUCAACAUGGUCAACUCGUGACACAACAACUUUUGACAAUGGAAUUCAACAACUUUGUAUAUUUUAGUUAAAUGCAAUUAUACAUAAGUCAACAAUCAACAAUCAAUCAUAUUCAAAUCAACAGCUCUGGUAAAAAUAACAUAAUUAAUCCUAAUUAUUUAUUCUACCUAAAGAAUCCAACCCAACAGUACACGCUACAAGGUACACGAAACACCAGAUAUUCACGUCAAACCAAAUUAGAUUCAUCACAACAUAGGUUAAAUACUAAUAAACACCUUAAUUGAACUCAUAGUACUUCUAAUUUUGAGCUUUUGAAUUAUUCCAUAAGUUUUGGAUUAACUUAGAAAUGGUUAUGCUGAAUUUUCAUAAGAUUUGACUAAGACCUCCUUGGAGUAUUUUCAUCAUAUCUCAAAAACUAAAAAUAAUUUUCAAGUCAAAUCAAAACCAUUGGAAAGCUAACAAAAUUAUCUAUAAUUUCCAUGUUUACACCAAAGGCCAAUUCAUAACAUAAACGUGUGAAAAAGACGCAAGAACAUAAAACAGGGUAUGCUGUCACUGAGCAAUUUUGCUAAUGGCGAAAAGUUAGCGAAUAGCAAAAUUGUUAAGAGUGUUUCGCCAAUAGCGAUCUCCUAGCGAGUUUUUCCCUUGCUGUUACGAUUUCUGCACAUUUUCACCCAAAAAAACCAAAUUUCAUCUACCCAAAUUUGAUAGGAAACUUAACCUAUGAUUAUUCUACAACCUGAACAUCAAUUCUUAAAACAAUUGCCAUGAUUUCUACACUUUUCUAAUCGAACUCAACAAUGGAAAACCUAAUUCCCAAUUCCCAAAUUUAACCAAAACCCCUUGUUAAAUCAAGAUCAGAAUUAUACAAACUAUAAUCAUUGAGAGUUAGUCUCACCCUUACUUUAAUUCUGACGAACGAAGUUCUACGAUCUCUCCGGUUCUUCACUUGGCUCUUCUCCCUUUUUCUCCCCCAAAGACUUGUUUUCACGUGAAAUGUUUUUCUGACUUCUCAAUUUCUUAACUCCUUAACUUAACACCCAUUUAUUUUAAUUAACCCCACACAACUCUCCUUAUUUCUAAUUCAGCCCCUAAACUCCAGUUAUUUCUAAUUCCCAUAUAUUCUAAUAAAUAAUAAAAAUAUAACAUUUAAUAAAAUACAACACACCACAAAAUCAACAUAAUUCAUAUAAGUCAUAUAAAAGACUUUAAAUCAACCAAAAUAUUUAAAUGAAUAAAUAGGGCGUUACAUAAUGUUAAACGCAUUUUGUUCCAACACAUUUCAGUAUCAGAAAACAUAGCUUAUGUUGCUGAACCAAUCAAUGCAGCAAAGCAUGAGAACUCAUAAAAAGGUGCAUUUUAUUCUAGUCUUGAACCUGUCAUUGAAACUGCACCUACCUUAGCCUCUGUUAGUCAUUUAUAUGUUGAAUCAGGAACAUCUCAUUAACCAGAUUGGACCUUAGGUGGUUCAAUGGACUCUGAUGAUGAAAUGCCUGAUGUUAAUGCGGACAGUAAGCCUACCACUUCAUCUCAACCCAGUCUUGACCUACCAUCUACUUCUACAUCUCAAACUAUCCCAGACCAACCUACAACAUCUCAAACCAUCAGAGUGUCACCUCCUUCUACCCUUUUGCUAGACUCUGUUGUAUUAAAUGAGAUAUGUGAACUGAUUUUUUAGGAUCUGACAAACCUUGUCAAGACAAGAAAUAAAAUCUAGUUCAAACUAAAAAUUAUGAAGAUAAGUGGUUGGAGCUAAGGGAAAGAGUUGAUAGAAUCUUGUGUGAUACGCAAAGGCUAUCUGUAAAAGCUCAAAAUCAGUCUCUAAACAGCUGGUUCAAGGAAGUCAUCAAGAAUAUGGAAGAAACGGAAGUCAUAAGGAACAAGUUAUACAUAUCAGACUCUCCAUUCUUCCUGGAUGCCUCUUCAGUCAUAUCCUCAUCUGUCAAAGAGGAUCUGAACAUUUCUUGGUUGACUCGGCUGCAUGGCAAGCCUCAGAUUCCGAUUAUUGAGCAACUGAAGAAACCAGAGCCUGUUGAAGAUAUAAGAGUUGAGAAAUUGGAGCAAGAAUUGUUUGAGCAGAAGAUGUUGUCUGAAAAAUUUAAGAGACAAAUGUCAGAGAUAAAAGAAGAAUACAAGGCACGUGAGGAAGCACAAGCCAAGAGAUCAGAUGCUCUAGAAGAGACCUUGAAGAAACAAUAUGAAGAGAUGAAGACAAUGAUGGCUAAAAUGAUGGAUUUGGUGAAGAAACAACACAAACCUUAGAAUGCACACUUUUUUUUUUUCUUUUUCUGAUCACAUUGUUUUAUUUAUGCUCCUGAUACUUGUUUCAUAUCUUUUGCUCUGAUAUUUUGCCUGCUCUGACAAUAUUGUGAUUAUUAUCCAUUGAUAUAUAUGUUAACCAUGCCUUGAUUGUACUUAGAAUUAUCUCAUGUUUUUCUUACGUCUCUUAUUGGUAUUUAUUGUACUUUUUGUUAAUGACGAAAGGGGGAGUAGAUAUGGUAUACAUUUAGACUCUGAGUCCCACUAAUUUAACUUAAAAUUUAAUUAGGAGAAACUGCUUCUCAUCUCUUAGUCUUUAGAAUUAUUUUGAGUGAUGUUUUUAAGUUUAAAAUGAAUUUAAUUAACAUGGAUAGACUUAAGGGGAGCUUACAAACCUCAUACCCUAAAGUCAACUUGUUAAUUAGAUUAACAACAAUGGACCUUUAAUAGGGGGAGAUUGUUGGAACAAAAUGUGUUUAACAUUACCACCUUAAAUUUUGAUGAUAACAAGGUAUUAAAAUGUCAAUUGAAAUAUGCUAAUAUUUGUUCAAGUGUGCAUGACCAUAGACAGAAAGUUAUAUGUCUUUAAUUCAAGUAUAGGUUUUGGAAGAACAAAAAAGAGCAAUGGAAAUUACAAAAAGGAAGCUUCAAGACAGAGACUGAAGAUAAAAAGCGUCUGAAGACCAUCAGAAGCUGUCUACCAGAAGCUGACGUCAUCGGAGAGUCUGAAGAACCAUUAGAAGCUGGAGUUCAUCAGAGUCUAAAGACUGGAAGCUGAAGUUAGUUAAAUGUUGUUAUUCUUAAUGCAUAUCAUUGCGGAAGGAAUGCAAGCCGAGAGCAACGACUAUUUCAGAGAAAUUAGAAGGCAUUGGAUGUUUAUCCACUGAAAAGCGCAGGAAAAGGAUAUAGUACAAUUGUACAACCACUACCUCCACUACUCCACUCCUCAUGUCUGCAGUAGUACAAGAUAACAGUUGCGGCUACGCUGGUUAUUCUCUAUUCAAGGAAUGAAUUUGGAAUUGUUCCCUCCUAUGACAAUAACCAAAUCAAGCAACAGAUCAUUGGUGAUUAUCAAUCUUCAACAACGACUCUUUUGAUGUGCUGGCAAUCAACAACGUCUACACUACCAAAAAAAAUCAACAACAUCUCUUUCACACCUCUAAAAAAAUCACAUAAAAAUCGUCAAAAAAAUGCUAAGACAUUGUGUUUUGAAUUAGAAUAAUUAUUAAAUUUAUGAUAUGUACAUCAAAGUGUUGCAUUUGUCCCUAUAGCUUACUUAAUAAAGAGGUCACAUAAAAAUACAUAUCUAGCCAUGAAGACG